GACAGAGGAUAAAAGGAUUGUCCGGAAUGAUUAGGCAUAAAGCGUAUGUAGAUGGCUUUUCAAGUUCACUGUCAAAUCCCAGGGCUCAACCCUGGACAGGCGGUGGAAACUAGCAAGCUGGAGUACGGUAGGGGCAAAGGGAAUUUCCAGUGGAGAGGUGAAAUGUGAUAGAGAUCGGAAAGAACACUAAUAUCGGAAAGCACUCUGCUGGGCCGACACUAACACUGAGAGACGAAAGUUAGGGGAGCAAAUGGG
rnacentral:rRNA from 1 species